GGGGUAAACCUGCGAAACUCGAAUGAACGAACGGAGAGAUUCAUCGUCAUUUCGCGGCGUACGGCCGCGCGCUCGAUGCCCUCGGCCUCGGUCAAUGGGCACGUCGCGCGUACGUAACGUCCGCGGACGGCGUGCACUUCUCUCUUAGUAUCCACAUGCAUCGCGACCCGUUAGAUGUCGAUCUAAGCGCCGCCCGGGAGCCCCAUUGUCACCGGCAACGGUGGCGGUGGGACCGCGGUGGACGCCGACCGGCUGUCUGACGGUAGUUACAAUGAAACGUGCACGCGUUCACGCGCGUCCGGCCCGACGCAAGUCAACGUCGUAUCCGACGCUCCGCCCGAGUGCGGGCGCUGGUGCGGCGCGUCUGCUGUCGCAGCCGUGUGUCUCGGACUGUGCGCGUCUCUGUCAGCGAUGAUUCAGUUUCGGGCACUCGCAGGACCCGUCUUGAAACACGGACCAAGGAGUCUAGCAUGUAUGCGAGUCAUUGAGUAUAUUUUGACAAAACUGAAAGGCGUAACGAAAGUGAAGGCGUGCGCUCGUCGCGCGCUCAGGGAGGAUGGAGCGUCGGUCUAGGUCGACCUCUCGCACUCCCGAGGCGUCUCGUUUCCAAUCUGUGAAUGCAGGCGCGCUC
rnacentral:rRNA from 1 species